rnacentral:rRNA from 1 species
AUGGUAUGCACUGGCUCGCUGACUCCUCCUUCUUGUAGAACCGUAAUGCCAUUAAUUUGGUGUUGCGGGGAAACAGGACUGUUACUUUGAAAAAAUUAGAGAGUUUAAAGCAGGCCAACGCCUGAAUACAUUAGCAUGGAAUAAUGAAAUAGGACGUUCGAACCUAUUUUGUUGGUUUCUAGGAUUGACGUAAUGAUUAAUAGGGAUAGUUGGGGGCAUUAGUAUUCAAUUGUCAGAGGUGAAAUUCUUGGAUUUAUUGAAUACCGACUACUGCGAAAGCGUUUGCCAAGGAUGUUUUCAUUAAUCAAGAACGAAAGUUAGGGGAUCGAAGACGAUCAGAUACCGUCGUAGUCUUAACCAUAAACUAUGCCGACUAGGGAUCGGAUGAUGUUAAUUUUUUAAUGACUCAUUCGGCGCCUUACG